rnacentral:rRNA from 1 species
AUUGAACGCUGGCGGCAGGCCUAACACAUGCAAGUCGAGCGAGCGGCGGAAGGGUGAGUAAUGUAUGGAGACUGCCCGAUAGAGGGGGAUAACUACUGGAAACGGUGGCUAAUACCGCAUACGAUCUGAUCGCCAAUAUGGGAUUAGCUCGUAGGUAAGGUGAUGGCUUCCCUAGGGUACGAUCCCUAGCUGGUCGUAGAGGAUGAGCAGCCACACUGGGACUGAGAUGCGGCCCAGACGCCUACGGAGGCAGCAGUGGGGAAUAUUGCACAUUGGGCGCAAGCCUGAUGCAGCCAUGCCGCGUGUGUGAAGAAGGCCCUAGGGUUGUAAAGUACUUUCAGUCGGGAGGCGUUACCGACAGAAGAAGCACCGGCUAACUCCGUGCCAGCAGCCGCGGUAAUUC